rnacentral:rRNA from 1 species
AACGAACGCUGGCGGCAGGCCUAACACAUGCAAGUCGAGCGCCCCCCGCAAGGGGGGAGCGGCGGACGGGUGAGUAACGCGUGGGAAUUUUCCUCAAGGUACGGAACAACUCAGGGAAACUUGGGCUAAUACCGUAUGAUGUCUAGCGACCAAAGAUUUAUCGCCUUGGGAUAAGCCCGCGUCAGAUUAGGUAGUUGGUGGGGUAACGGCCUACCAAGCCUGCGAUCUGUAGCUGGUCUGAGAGGACGAUCAGCCACACUGGGACUGAGACACGGCCCAGACUCCUAUGGGUGGCAG